rnacentral:tRNA from 1 species
AUCAAAAUAGCUCAAAAAGAGCAUUGCAUUGAAGCUGCAAAGGUGACUAUGCUGUCUUUUGGUA